rnacentral:rRNA from 1 species
ACGGAGGAUCCGAGCGUUAUCCGGAUUUAUUGGGUUUAAAGGGUGCGUAGGUGGUUUGAUAAGUCAGCGGUGAAAGUUUGCAGCUUAACUGUAAAAAUGCCGUUGAAACUGUCGGACUUGAGUGUAAAUGAGGUAGGCGGAAUGCGUGGUGUAGCGGUGAAAUGCAUAGAUAUCACGCAGAACUCCGAUUGCGAAGGCAGCUUACUAAGCUACAACUGACACUGAAGCACGAAAGCGUGGGGAUCAAACAGGAUUAGAUACCCUGGUAGUCCACGCAGUAAACGAUGAUUACUAGCUGUUUGCGAUACACAGUAAGCGGCACAGCGAAAGCGUUAAGUAAUCCACCUGGGGAGUACGCCGGCAACGGUG